rnacentral:rRNA from 2 species
GGUUAAGCGACUAAGCGUACACGGUGGAUGCCCUGGCAGUCAGAGGCGAUGAAGGACGUGCUAAUCUGCGAUAAGCGUCGGUAAGGUGAUAUGAACCGUUGUAACCGGCGAUUUCCGAAUGGGGAAACCCAGUGUGAUUCGUCACACUAUCAUUAACUGAAUCCAUAGGUUAAUGAGGCGAACCGGGGGAACUGAAACAUCUAAGUACCCCGAGGAAAAGAAAUCAACCGAGAUUCCCCCAGUAGCGGCGAGCGAACGGGGAGCAGCCCAGAGCCUGAAUCAGUGUGUGUGUUAGUGGAAGCGUCUGGAAAGGCGCGCGAUACAGGGUGACAGCCCCGUACACAAAAAUGCACAUAUUGUGAGCUCGAUGAGUAGGGCGGGACACGUGGUAUCCUGUCUGAAUAUGGGGGG